CCUACGGGUGACAGCAGUGAGGAAUAUUGGUCAAUGGACGAGAGUCUGAACCAGCCAAGUAGCGUGAAGGAUGACUGCCCUAUGGGUUGUAAACUUCUUUUAUAUGGGAAUAAAAUGUUCCACGUGUGGGAUUUUGUAUGUACCAUAUGAAUAAGGAUCAGCUAACUCCGUGCCAGCAGCAGCGGUAAUACGGAGGAUCCGAGCGUUAUCCGGAUUUAUUGGGUUUAAGGGGAGCGUAGGUGGAUUGUUAAGUCAGUUGUGAAAGUUUGCGGCUCAACCGUAAAAUUGCAGUUGAAACUGGCAGUCUUGAGUACAGGAGAGGUGAGCGGAAUUCGUGGUGUAGCGGUGAAAUGCUUAGAUAUCACGAAGAACUCCGAUUGCGAAGGCAGUUCACUGGACUGCAACUGACACUGAGGCUCGAAAGUGUGGGUAUCAAACAGGAUUAGAUACCCUUGUAGUC
rnacentral:rRNA from 1 species